GGGGGCGAUAGGUCUCGACAGGGGCUAGGAUCGCCGUACGGAUGCAUGCCGGGCUCUCUACGUCGCUCGUUAAAAAGCGUAGAAAACCACAACUGCCAACUCUAACGAGUUAGCUCUCGCGGCCUAAGUUAUCUUAGGCGUCUAGCGAGCGUCUCGCCGCAAGUCGCUCAAGCGCGCGGAGUGAGGCGUGACCCAUUUGAGCUGGCCUACCCUCUGUGUCUCAGGGAGGGCGGGCGAGAUAAAACUGGGCUAGUCCCGGGCGGGGUCUUCGUCGCUUCACUGACCCGCCGGGGGCGAACGCGCCGGAGUUAAGACCGGCAGCAGAGAAGCGUCUAAGCAUGUAGAUUCCGCCGGUAUCGGCCUUUGGACCCGAGUUCGAUUCUCGGCGCCUCCAUUC
rnacentral:tmRNA from 1 species